rnacentral:lncRNA from 1 species
CUCCAUAAAAUAUCCCUAAACUAUGGAAUUUGGAGAGUUUCUGGGCUGGUGAACAGAUCCACGUGUGGGGAGGGUGGUGCACUCCAAUUCCACGGAGACAGAAGUUCCUGAGCUUGCGACCCUUCCAGACCUCGCCCUAGGGACCUCUUCAUCUGUAUCCUGCAUCACAUCCUUUAACAAACCGGUAAAUGGGAAGCCAGCUGCCUUGUUAGGUGGACACUGUGGAGAGGCCUCCAUGGCAAGGAAUGAGUGCUGCCCACACCAUGCGGCGAGCUUGGGAGUGGAUCCCGUUACAGACAGCUUGAUGCAUCCUCAUGAGAGACCCUGAGCCAGAGCCACGCAGCCUAGCUGCUCCUGGAUUCCUGAUCCAUGGAAACUGCAACUGGAAAGAGAAGCAAUGAGCCGUCGCCGAGACUGCGAAAAUAAAUUCAGAGCUCAUGUUCUGCUGACAUUGGAUUAGCAACUGCAAGGUCUCCUGGGGACACAGCAUGACGGAAGCUCAUCCAUCACCACCCCCAUGCCCUUGACUCUGCUCUCUGUCCACAAAGUGGACCCAUUACUGGAGACUUCUUAGGCCUUCAGGGCUUCACUGUAUCUCCUCCAUGAAGAGGAGCGUGGACAUUUGAUGUUUUAACCUGAGAAGUUCUUGCUGCCUCGUCUCACAGGUCACAAUGGGUUAUUUUUCUGAAAGGUGGUUUCCUACUUACAUGGGGCCUAAAAGGCUUUCUCCGAUCUUUCAGCUGUUGGCUCCAACUAAUGGGCCCGCCUAGCCGGAGAAGUUAUUGAGUAUCUGUGUAAUUAAGAACCUACUGGAUGUCAUGUGGAAUAAAGAGAAGGAAGUUUGUGACAAAGAAGACUGCGAAGGAGACCUCUCCUAAUCUAUCCGCCUCUCUCUUUAUUCAGAAUUUCAAAUGGGUCAAAAAUAAAGCCAGCUUGCUAAGGAUUGUAUUGACUAAAAGAACUAAAGGAACCGAUUUAUGUCUCAAAGAAAGCAGCAAUCUGUUGGCUGUCCCAGGAGAAAUGGCUGUGUGCGUGCUCCUGUGGGAACCGGGACUUCCUGAUACAUCUCCUGCUGUUGGGUGCACACCACCCUUGUAUCACCAAGUCCAGGGCCAAAGGGGCAUCUGGUCCCAUUUUAUUUUCAAGCCUUAAAGGACCCAGGGAGUGAGGCAGCUCUUCCAAACUACUUUUCCAAAGGGAGUUCUCGUUUGUUCUGCAUUGGCAACGUCACACUUAAAGGAAAGAAAAUCUCCAAAACACUCCGUCUGUCACUUCUGAAAGCCAGAUUCUCUAAACCGCUAAUUCACAAAGUUACCCAGAAAGCAGAGUUCAUUACUGGGUUACAGCUUUGAAUAUUCCAGCAAAAGAUGCAUCACAGUAUUGCAAAUGGACUGUACCUCAGCCAUCUCAGCUUGGAAACUUUUGACUCAAGAAGACCCUAUUUUUCAGAUUUCGCUUCAAGCAUAAACCCCCUUCUCUGUAGUGCGGAAUUCCCAUCAACAAGUAGAGCCAAGCACUGGUUCUGAGAUGCCUUUUCGUUCUUGAGCACAGAGAAUGCUCUGAACACUCUAAAGGGCGUGUGAACAUCUUCAGAAUGUUUGGGUAACAAUGGAAGAAAUAUUUGUAUGUAGGAUAGAGUAUUCCUGCAAGUUAUGGAGAUCAGGUGAAGCGGCCGAAAGAGGAAGUAGUUCAAUGUGUAUUUCCUGGGAGUUUGCCUCAGAUUGCCUGCCCAGAUUUUUUAGAACCAAACUGACAAAUAGAAGCACAAAACUGAAUUCCAAUUUUAGCACCUAUACUAAAAUAUCCACCUGUUCACAAGUUCGACAAUUGGUUGCAAUGUUAGGUGGAAUGUGCGUAUAAACACAUACACACAUUCUCCCACUAUACAUUUAAAGAUAUAUAAAUUCAAUCCUGCUUAAUUUUCCCUUACAAAACCUUGCAUAAAGUUGUUAUUCUAUUUAGCACUUUUAUUCUGAUUAUAAAAGAGAUACACGCUCUUCACAGAAAAUUUAGAAAAAUACAAAAGAGGAAAUUCAAAAUCACUAGUUAGCCCACUACAUGGAGAUAACCAUAGUUUAAUAAAUGCAUAGAUCAAAAGUGGGAAAUAAAACUACAUAUAAAUUAUAAUCUCAAUGAAGUAAUUUGCAUCUUGCUUUUCUUAACUUGAAGGUUAUAGCAUCAGCAUUUCUCCACACCAUUAAAAAUUUUAAAAAACCAAGAUGUCAGUCAAAGGCUGAAAUGUGCCUCAUUGUGGCAUGAUAGCUUUACUAAACUAACCAUUUUCUUAUAUAUGGAUACAUAAGUUAUAGCUAAUUUUUUGAUAUUGUGCAUAAUGCUGUGAUUAACAUACUUUCUGUCAAUUUUUUCUGUACCUCUGAUUAUUUUAUUAGACUGGAUCCUUAAAAAAGGGAUCAUUGAGUUAGAGAAUAUGCUGUGUUUUUAAGAAAAAUUUUCUCUUUCACAAGUCCUUGCAAAUUGGCAUGUAACAGGUACUCAUUAAAUAUUUGUUAACUGGGCGUGCAUAUUUUAAAGCGCUAGUCAUAGUGCCAAUCGCUCUCCAGACAGGUUGCGUUCAUUAACACCCCAGGCAAUACGAAAAUGAACUUCAUGCUGUGUUCAUCAGCAUUCAGCAUUACAACUGACUUUUUAUCUUUGACUAUCGAUAGGUGGAAAAUAAC